rnacentral:lncRNA from 1 species
GCAGAGCUCUUCCCCUCCCCUCCCCACAGGCAGUAAAUUAACCUGUGGCUCAGCCUCUCCCUGAGAACCUGGUGGGACAGGGAGACAGAUCCUCUCUGGGAUGACACCGGGAUGGGGAGCUGGGGAAUGCCUGGGAUGAAGCCAGCAGGGACAGGGGGACCAGAGGGGCCGGAGGAGCCGGCAGGAACGUGGAGCAGCUGAGCAGGACACGACUGUGAGAGAAGACCACGGAUUUCAGGGCAUCCUUUGUGGACACCUGGGCACAGCACGAGCCCUGGAGCAGAGACUGCUGACACAGCGGGAUUUCACAGCUUGGAAUUUAUGGUUCUUUUGAGAGACAUGCGCAAGAAAGGAGAAAAAAAUACCCUGCCAUCAGCACAAACCCAUCAACUCUGCUGGGAAAGAGCUGGGGUCCGGGGAGCCCCCAGGGAUCCCCAGGUCAUUCCUCAAGGAAAGAGACCCCCCCACACUGGCAGCAAGAGCUCCCAACCCAGUUACAGUGUGCCCAG